CUGUAAUGGAAUGUUUUCCAAAUGCUACUCUGCAGCAGGUGCAUCUGUUAGAAUUCAUCUAAUUUUUACAACAACCCCAGGAGGUAAAAAGGCACUUAAAACAGAUUUUCUUGUUGAAGAAAUUGAGCUCAAAAUGCAGCUGAAGUGCAGCUCAAGUGCCCUUUCUUCAUGAAGUGUCUCCUCUACCUGCCUCUGUGAACUGCACAAACACUUCCUCCCCUUCCUGGAUUCCUGUGGAACUAAGGACACUCACACUUUCAAAAGACAGUCCUCAUCUUUCCAGGCUUUGUGGCAACUACAAUGAGGUUUAUGGUCUAGAUUAAAUGAAUCAGACAUGCCUGAGCAAGAAGCAGCGUCAAGUGCUCUGUGGAACCUGCAUUGCUGCUGUCCUUAAGCAAGUGAAGGCAGCUGCAGCAGGAGCGAUGGUUCUGGGGACCAUGCUCUGGACUUAGUGGCCCUGGAGCGAGAUCUGAGAGUAAAAAUGGACCUUGCCGGCAGUUCUGCGAUAUGGCUUAGGAAGAGAAGAACAACUGUUUCACAGAGCAGGUAAAGAAAAAGGCGUUGCUGGAAAGGGCACAUGAAGAAUGUUGCUGUGGAUGGCAUCCUGCUUUUGCUUUGAGUAGUGUUGGUGGCAUUAAAAAGAAUAAGA